UGGUUUUUGGUCGAGAGGUAAGAACAUUUGCCUCUAACCUAGGAGUCCCGGGGUCGAUCCCCGGUCGAGGACUAA